UUUAAGUUACUUUUUUCAUUAUUUAGGAGCUUAUAAUAGGAUAACCUGUUUUAUAUAUAACUUUAAUUAUUCUGCAUGAUAAUGUAUUGUAUAAGAAAAUUUAAGGGUGCAAUGGACCUGCAAAGUAGUUUAUAGGUUUUCAUUCAAUGUAUUUUCAUGUAAGUAUUUCUAUGUGGAGACUUGAUUUAAUUGUAAAAAAACCUGGUAUUUAGGACAGUAAAACUGAGCCACUUUCCUGGCCUCUCACGCCUCCAUUCUCCUGGGCCGUUCGAUCGUGUUUUCUGAUCGUCAUCUACCGUCGAGUCCUCGUUUGAGUCGAAGCUAUAACGUCUUGGGCCGGCUGUCCGUUAAACCGCUACUCCGGUAGAAAAAUCGAAGGUUUCUGGUUAACUGGGCCAUCUACGCAGCCCAUUUAGCCUCGUGCCCUCGGAAAAAGAUACCUCAGCCACUCGCCGCAGAAAAAAAGAAGGAGAAAUUGCUCGCUCCCCUCCCGACCUCUCCUCUCCAUCGCGACCUGGAAUCAAAAGGAAAUCGACGCAUCGCCUCUCCAAUCUCCAUCGCCAUUCGCAUCCCCUCCGUUUCAUCUUUUUUCUCGCGAUCUUUGGGGUGAGACCCUAGACAUACUUUUGCGGCGGCGCCGCCCUUGCAAUGCGCGUCCGCGCCCCCGCAUAGCCAUGUCCGGCGAGGAGCCCAAUCUCGGCAAUUGCAUUGCCUGCAUCAAGUACCUGAAGUCGCAGGAGCCAUCGCAGACCGGGUUGAGGGGCUGAAGAGGGGCCGACCCCCGGUCAUCGUGCACCUCUCCCGACCUCUCCCGAUCCCUCUCCUUUCGUGAGCCCUAGGUGGCGGAGUUCGUCGCUGUAUUAGGGGAUCGAUGGGAAGUAAUCACUCUUCACGGCGGAUGAUGUGCGCCCCUCGCCGGUGGGGAUUAUUGGAUAGUUUCCUCUCUGUUUCCAUCCUUCGCUGCCUCGGUACAGGAAAUUGAAGCGUUAGCUGGUUGAUAUGGAUCCACCAUGCGAAGAGCUUCUCCUGAUGUGGCGGCCAUGUGUGAUUAUCGAUUACACAUCAUGUUUUGUCGCCCAAUAUGACUGGUUUCAAUCCUUUAUUCUUUGUUUUUUCUACAACCCUAGGUUCACAACUCUUGCUCAUCUGUUCCUUCCGGCUGGCGUCCUUAGCGCAAACAGGAAUCAACAAUGAUGAUAUUGUUAGCUCGGCCACCAGGUAGUUGCAUUAGUUAAAUCAAGUGCUUCACAAAAUCCCUGUAAGAAGAUGGUGCUUCGCAAAAUUCAAGUUUGUCUUUCUGAUGCACUUGCAGUGAUACUAUUUUUUUGUCACCCUAUAGUCCUAUACUACAGAAGUGCAGCAAAAGCAUCCAUCUACUCAAGGUGUAAUACAAGAAGAUCUAAGAUGCUUGCACUGCUAAUUUAUUAUGCAUAUUGUGGUCAAAGUUUGUUUC